rnacentral:lncRNA from 13 species
AGCGCCGUGGCAAUCGCUCGUUGACUACCGUAAAGAAAAAACCGUUUUCCGACUUUGCUUCGUUCACACCGCAUCGCCUAGUGCUUGUCGCGAUCCGACGCGGAGAUACCCCGUCGUACUGUGCACCGUCAAGAGUGCCCGUAACUGUAAUAGUUUCAGAAGGGUAUUCACCGGUUCGCGCAGUUACAGUGGAUUUUCUCAUGUAAAAAAAAAGUAGAUGCCUGUUUGCACGAGUGCGGAUUUUUCUUUUGAGGGUUCUUCUUAGAGAAAAUUGAAUUUAAUAUGACAUAACUUUUAUAAACACUAUCUUUUAUUUAGCUUUUUUUACAUUAUAAAAACAAUUCUAUAUCAAACAAAAAGGUAUAGGAGCAGAGAGCCGACGAGACGCGGGAGAAAGAGAAAGAAAGAGAGAAGUCGCUGUUUAUUGAGCGCUCGAAUAAGAUCUUCUCAAGCGCGAAGAUAUAUGACGGGAUAAUGAAAAGGAGGAGAGAGAGGUCAGGAACGAGCAUGGUGGAAGAGAUAACAUAUCUUCCACUGUGGGAACGAGAAACCCGAAUUGAAGAAUCGACCUAUUUAUAUUCAAACUACGUUCUGAAGCGGACGACCAAGCUGCUUAUGAGCAGCAAUUGCUCUUGGAAAAUCAAGAUUAGGUAUUUCGAGCUGAAAGGAAGAAGGAAGAAGGAGAACAGAAGAAAAUAAAUAAAAGAAGACACAAAACAUUAUUAUUCAGCCGGAAUAUAAUACAUAUAUUUUAUAAAUAGAUGAACCACACACAGGCGUUCAAGACUCUUUUCAACCUGAGGUUUUGCUCACGCGUGAUAUUUGGACGUAGAAUUCAAGAGGGAAGGAAGAUCAGAAAAAUCCGCGGGGACAGGAGAGUCCGAGGGACUAGGAAGAGAGGACGGAGGGGUGACAGGAACGAUCCUGUACGUAAGGAAAGAGAGGACAGAGGGAGCGAGGGAAGGUGGCGGAGGAGAAGGUGGGUCGCGUUCUUCGAUGAUAAGAGGGGAAGAUAAAAGUUACUGCGGGGAUAUUUCUAAAAACGGUGCCCAUCUAGGAAUCGGUUCCUGACACAAAUUCUCGUGUCCCCCUGUCCUUAGAAUUUCCUAGAGAAACACGAAAAGAGCGGUUUGUCUCUUGAUGUUCUCCCAGAAGCAAUUCGGGCGAUGAUAAUGGGGUCGCAAUUUUCUUGGGAUAUUGAUUUUGAUCACUAACAAUAAACAAUUAACAAAUUAGAGGAAUCCGGUAAGGGACUAAGAAAUAUAACUUACUAAACGAAAAUGGUUAAAAUUAAAAGUUACAAUUUAUUCUAACCUAACAAGAAAAAUAAAUAACUACAAUGAUAGAUUGUGAUUAUUAAAAUAAUAAUAAGUUAUUUAGGAAUAACAUUUUUGUUCACAGAAAAUAUGUGUGAUAAAAGAAAAAAAACCUUGCCUUGACAUUAAAUUUCCACUCGAAAAUAUUAGAAGUGUCUCCUUUAUUAUUCUAUUGAGAUACUUUAAUUGAGGCAGUUGCUUACACUGGCUGGUGUCUCCAAUUCUCCCAAAACCAUUUCUAGUUCUUCGUGAAAUUUUCCUAAUGCUCGAGAUAAUUGCCCAAAAA